UAGGGAAUAUUGGGCAAUGGCCGCAAGGCUGACCCAGCCAUGCCGCGUGCAGGAUGAAGGCGCUCAGCGUUGUAAACUGCUUUUAUCUGGGAAGAACUGCAGGAUUGCGAUCUUGUUUGACGGUACCAGAGGAAUAAGCACCGGCUAACUCCGUGCCAGCAGCCGCGGUAAUACGGAGGGUGCAAGCGUUGUCCGGAUUUAUUGGGUUUAAAGGGUGCGUAGGUGGCCCGCUAAGUCUGGUUUGAAAGCUGGUCGCUCAACGAUCAGAUGUGGCUGGAAACUGGUGGGCUUGAAUGCGAUGGCGGUCGCCGGAACGGGUCAUGUAGCGGUGAAAUGCAUAGAUAUGACCCAGAACUCCGAUUGCGAAGGCAGGCGACCAGGUCGUGAUUGACACUGAGGCACGAGAGCAUGGGGAGCGAACAG
rnacentral:rRNA from 1 species